rfam:Operophtera brumata OBRT01_Sc03146, whole genome shotgun sequence.
UGUUCUAUGGCCGAACUGGUAAAGGCAUUGCCGAUCAAAGGCAAGGUUGCGGGUUCGAGUCCCGCUGGAACGG